GGACGGCGGCCCGGCGGGGCCGGCGCUGGGGCGGGAGCGCGGCUCAGGGCCCGACUCAGGCCCGGCGCUGGACGAAGACUUCGAGAUCGUAGAGCGGAGCCAGCUGCCGAGCCCGGGCGAGCUGCGGAGCGCGACGAGGCCCCGCACGACGCCCGAGUGGUCGGCGCCCAUCCUGACGCUGGCCCGCAGGGCCACCGGGAGCCUGACGGCGAGCUGUGGGAGCGCGCUGCGCGCGGCCGCGGGGCUGGGCGACGGCGGCGGAGACGGUGCGGCGCGCGCAGCUUCCAGAAGCCAGAUGAUGGAGGAGCGCUCCAACCUGAUGCACAUGAUGAAACUGAGCAUCAAGGUCUUGCUCCAGUCGGCCCUGAGCCUGGGCCGCAGCCUGGACGCGGACCACGCCCCCUUGCAGCAGUUCUUUGUGGUGAUGGAGCACUGCCUCAAACACGGGCUGAAAGUUAAGAAGAGUUUUAUUGGCCAAAAUAAAUCUUUCUUUGGUCCUUUGGAGCUGGUGGAGAAACUUUGUCCAGAAGCAUCAGAUAUAGCUACUAGUGUCAGAAAUCUGCCAGAACUAAAGACGGCCGUGGGGAGAGGCCGAGCCUGGCUCUACCUUGCCCUCAUGCAGAAGACGCUGGCAGAUUAUCUGAAAGUGCUGGUAGACAAUAAGCAUCUCCUAAGCGAGUUCUACGAGCCUGAGGCCCUGAUGAUGCAGGAAGAGGGCGUGGUGAUCGUCGGUCUGCUGGUGGGACUCAAUGUGCUCGAUGCCAACCUCUGCCUAAAGGGAGAAGACUUGGAUUCCCAGGUUGGAGUAAUCGAUUUUUCCCUCUACCUUAAAGACGUGCAGGAUCCUGAUGGUGGCAGAGAGCACGAAAGAAUUACUGAUGUCCUUGAUCAAAAAAAUUACGUGGAAGAACUGAACCGGCACUUAAGCUGUACAGUUGGGGAUCUUCAGACCAAGAUAGAUGGCUUGGAAAAGAUGAAUUCAAAGCUUCAAGAAGAGCUUUCAGCUGCAACAGACCGGAUCUGUUCACUUCAAGAAGAACAGCAGCAAUUAAGAGAACAGAAUGAACUAAUUCGAGAGAGAAGUGAGAAGAGUGUGGAGAUAACCAAACAGGACACCAGAGUUGAGCUGGAGACUUACAAGCAGACCCGGCAAGGUCUGGACGAGAUGUACAGCGAUGUGUGGAAGCAGCUGAAGGAGGAGGAGAAAGUGCGGCGGGAACUGGAAAAAGAACUGGAGUUACAAAUUGGAAUGAAAACUGAAAUGGAGAUCGCCAUGAAGCUGCUGGAGAAGGACACCCAUGAGAAACAGGACACCCUGGUGGCCCUGCGGCAGCAGCUGGAGGAGGUCAAGGCGAUUAAUCUGCAGAUGUUCCACAAAGCCCAGAACGCAGAGAGCAGUUUACAGCAGAAGAACGAAGCCAUCGCAUCUUUUGAAGGAAAAACCAAUCAAGUUCUGUCCACCAUGAAGCAGAUGGAAGAGCGGUUACAGCACUCGGAAAGGGCGAGGCAGGGAGCCGAGGAGCGAAGCCACAAGCUGCAGCAGGAGCUCGGUGGGAGGGUCAGCGCCCUGCAGCUGCAGCUGUCCCAGCUGCAUGAGCAAUGUUCAAGUUUAGAGAAAGAGCUGAAAUCAGAAAAAGAGCAGAGACAAGCUCUUCAGCAAGAAUUACAGCAUGAGAAGGACACCUCCUCUCUGCUGCGGACAGAGCUACAACAAGUCCAAGGACUAAAGAAGGAGCUGCUGGAGCUCCAGGAGGAGAAGACAGAGUUACAGAAGGUCUGUGAUGAGCAGGAACAAGCCCUCCAGGAAAUGGGUCUGCAUCUCAGCCAGUCCAAGCUGAAGAUGGAAGACAUAAAGGAAGUAAACAAGGCCCUGAAGCCUGUUACCUGGGGGAAGGAGCUAAGCUGCUCCCAGGGUGCGUGUGGCUUGUCUCCCCACAACGGGCCAGGUGUCGGGGUGUCCAGCCUCAGGGCCACACCUGGCUGAAAGACGACGAAGCGACACACUGCAAGCAGUGUGAAAAGGAGUUUUCCAUUUCCCGGAGAAAGCACCACUGCCGAAACUGCGGCCACAUAUUCUGCAACACCUGCUCCGGCAGCGAGCUGGCCCUGCCCUCCUACCCGAAGCCGGUGCGCGUGUGUGACAGCUGCCACACCCUGCUGCUGCACCGCUGCUCCUCCACUGCCUCCUGAGGCCCCCUGCCCGCUGCCUCUGGUGCAAUGAACUCUGGUCUGCAGGGAUCCCCAGGGGCCUGGGCAGUGCUCCCCAGGAAAGCCAAGGGCCUGGAAGAUGACAGAGCAGAGCGCACCCGCCUCCUUGGGGCUUGUGUGGAGCACACUCCUGGGCUGCGUGGCUCCCUCGGCAUUGGUCGCUGCAGCUUGGCCCCUGCACCGGCUCUGGUCCCAAUCGUCUUGCUGUCACUUUUCAGAGAAUUACCCUAUUUUGCAGCAGGUAUCCUAGCGCAUCAAGCUCUCUUCCCUACCCUGUCACAGCUUGAAGGCGUGCAGUGCUUUAUAGCACAACUGGUCUGUCAGUGCCUUGUCUGUCUCAGUGGCAAGAUUUGACCUGUGUUGCUGAGGCCUUGUGCCAGGCCCUGAAAUAAAAACUUUUAUUUUUCA